rnacentral:rRNA from 1 species
CAAAAACAUAGCUAGAUGUAAUUAUAUUUAGUGCUUCCUGCUCAAUGAUACAUUUAAUAGCCGCAGUACCUUGACUGUGCAAAGGUAGCAUAAUCAAUUGGCUUAUAAUUGAAGUCUAGAAUGAAGGGAUAUACGGGUAAUUACUGUAUCUAAUAUUCACCACAAAAUUAGUUUUCAAGUGCAAAUACUUGUAAAUAACUGUUAGACGAGAAGACCCUAGAAAUUUGUACUGAUGUUUCGUUGGGGCAACGUAGUAGGAAUAACCUACAGUAAAUAGACGCGAAAAUUUUUCGGAAGAAAAAAUUACUCUAGGGAUAACAGCAUAAUUUAUAAAAGUUUGUGACCUCGAUGUUGGAUUUGGGAACUAUAGUUCAAAAGACUUUUAGUACUGCUCUGUUCGAGCAUUAUACCUAACGUGAUCUGA